rnacentral:rRNA from 1 species
UUUUUAUGAGAGUUUGAUCCUUGCUCAGGACGAACGCUGGCGGCGUGCCUAAUACAUGCAAGUCGAACGCUUCUUUUUCCACCGGAGCUUGCUCCACCGGAAAAAGAGGAGUGGCGAACGGGUGAGUAA